rnacentral:rRNA from 1 species
UACGUAGGUGGCAAGCGUUGUCCGGAUUUACUGGGCGUAAAGAGCGCGCAGGCGGUCGGAUAAGUCGAAUGUGAAAGCCCCCCGGCUCAACUGGGGAGGGUCAUUCGAUACUGUUCGACUCGAAGGCAGGAGAGGGAAGUGGAAUUCCCGGUGUAGUGGUGAAAUGCGUAGAUAUCGGGAGGAACACCAGUGGCGAAGGCGACUUCCUGGCCUGUUCUUGACGCUGAGGCGCGAAAGCUAGGGGAGCAAACAGG